GUGGGGAAUAUUGGACAAUGGGGGCAACCCUGAUCCAGCCAUGCCGCGUGUGUGAAGAAGGCCUUUUGGUUGUAAAGCACUUUAAGCAGUGAAGAAGACCUAACGGUUAAUACCCGUUAGCGAUGACAUUAGCUGCAGAAUAAGCACCGGCUAACUCUGUGCCAGCAGCCGCGGUAAUACAGAGGGUGCAAGCGUUAAUCGGAAUUACUGGGCGUAAAGCGAGCGUAGGUGGCUUGAUAAGUCAGAUGUGAAAUCCCCGGGCUUAACCUGGGAACUGCAUCUGAUACUGUUGGGCUAGAGUAGGUGAGAGGGAGGUAGAAUUUCAGGUGUAGCGGUGAAAUGCGUAGAGAUCUGAAGGAAUACCGAUGGCGAAGGCAGCCUCCUGGCAUCAUACUGACACUGAGGUUCGAAAGCGUGGGUAGCAAACAGGAUUAGAAACCCUAGUAGUCC
rnacentral:rRNA from 1 species